AUUGAACGCUGGCGGCAGGCCUAACACAUGCAAGUCGAACGAGUGGCGGACGGGUGAGUAAUGUCUGGGAAACUGCCUGCUGGAGGGGGAUAACUACUGGAAACGGUAUCUAAUACCGCAUACCAUCGGAUGUGCCCAGAUGGGAUUAGCUUGUAGGUGGGGUAAUGGCUCACCCAGGCGACGCUCCCUAGCUGGUCUGAGAGGAUGACCAGCAAAACUGGAACAGAGACACGGUCCAGACGCCUACGGGAGGCAGAGGGGGGGAAUAGUGCACAAUGGGCGCAAGCCUGAUGCAGCCAUGCCGCGUGUAUGAAGAAGGCCUUAGGGUUGUAAAGGACGUUCAGCGGGGAGGCGUUACCCGCAGAAGAAGCACCGGCGAACUCCGUGCCAGCAGCCGCGGUAAUAC
rnacentral:rRNA from 1 species